ACAUUUGUUUUGUUUAUAUCUUCAUGUAUGUGUAGUGGACUCACCGGAGCAUUAUGAUGAUGUCAUAAUUACUGGACAGAACUUUAAAUGUGUAACAGAGGGAGAUCAGGAGGAGUAUGAUGAUGAUGUGAAGAACAGCAAUGAAGAUGAGAGAAACAUGCUGGGUUGGUUAUUGUUACCUUUUUACAUAAUCUACUUUCAAUCAUUAUAUUUAAAAUUUAAACCCAAUUUAAACUAAAUAAUGAUAUAAUUAUUAUAUUAAUGAAAAAAUAUGCUUUUGUUUUUUUAAACAGACUUUGAUGAUGUGGGGGAGUAGUCAAAUAAAGUGGGAGGAGCCAUAUGACUCUGAGGAGAUAUAGUCAUAUUACAGUUACUGGUUCUACUGAGAGUUUCUUAUAUUUCUACUAGUGCAUCAAUGCCUUCUGUUUUUAUGAAAGUUUAAAUGCUUUAUCAACAAAUUUGAGUAUUUGUAUUUUAGUAUUUGGCCUUUUAUUUUGAUCUCAAUGCUCUUCAAUUAAUAAACAAAAUAUACCAUCCAUUCAUCAUGUCACAAAAAUAUAUUUUUAAAAGAACGGUUAGAAGAAAAAUGAAAUUAUGCAAAAUUUUACAAAUGUUUAAGAAAGCACUUUUAGGCAGUUCAGCUUUUGACAGCAUUUUAUAGCUAAAUAUAAUAAUAAAAUAUAGAUCUAAAGCAUCAUA
rnacentral:lncRNA from 12 species